CCUGGGUAUGCAGUUUUGUGGCAGGACUGACUAAAUGUCAGACUGUCUGAGAGACAUACAGCAGCCCAAGUUCAAUGACUGAUGAUCUACACAGAACACUGAAGGACUUCCAUUCACUCCCUUGUGGACAGGUUUUGCAUUUUAAUGAUCAUUUUAAUGAGACCAAUCAGUUAAAACUGGGGCUGGAUUUGGCAUAGUGAGGGCUAUUACAUUAACCAACUAGGGGUAAAGACAUGGGUAAAGAAAAGGGAAAUUGGGCACAAGGUGUCCAAAGAGAAAGGUAUGGCUAAAAAGCAACAAUAUUGAUCACUCCACUUCGUUUAAAGGUCAUUUUCUAGAUUCAGUAAUAAUAAUAAUAAUAAUUCUAAGAUUUCAAAAUUUUGAAACGAGGUGUCAAGAUAGGAAUGUUUUUGUUUUGUUUUGUUUUGUUUUGUUUUGUUUUGUUUUGUUUUGUUUUGUUUUGUUUUGUCCAUGGAUCCAAGAUUGUGUGGAGAUCUCCAAUCUUCUUCUAAGUAGCUGAGCAACAACAAAAAGCUUGACAAAUUGUAAUUUCGCAGUGGAUGACAAAUUGCAUUUGAGAAAUUGAAAUUGGCUCUCUCAACUGCAGGCCUACACUCUUAAAAAUAAAGGUUCUUAAAUGGUUCUUUGGCAGGGUGUAUGGUUCCAUGAAGAACCUUUACUAUCCUUUAGUAAAGGUUCUUCAUGUUCAACCUUUACUAUAUCAUUAUAUUUAUUAUUAUUAUUAUUUUUAUUUUAUUUUUUUCAGGAAAGUGAGAUCAAGUGAGCUAAAUUCUCCUGUCUGGUCCAGAACUAAUUCAGACUAAUUUUUCCAGACUCAAAUUAAUAUAAAUAAUGCAAUAUAAAUUAUUAAUUUUGAGUUAUAUAAAUAGAGUUGUGGUGUUUAUCAAUUGAAAAACAGUAGAUCAAUCCUUUUAUAUAUUUUAAUGUUUUGCAUGACUCAAGGCUCACUGAAAAUCUUUAAAAAUAUAAUUAUGUGACUUCGAAGGCGUUGCUGAUUAAUUUAUUAUUUAACUAAAAGCAAAGUUUAGUAUAAAAUCCUGCAGUAAUGUUUUAAAAUUUGUUUUAAACCCUUUGUAAAGGCUUUGCCUUGCCUUGCCUAUAUGAAUGGUUCGUAGAACUACAAAAUGAGUUUCAAAUUCGCGAUUGAAUAAUAAUGUAAUAUAAUUUAAUGACAUUUUAAAUUGUUUAUGUAGUGUUUUAAUUCAAGAUGCUUAUUUAAGUGCUGCGUGACGUGUUUUAAUGGGCGUGCGCGCCGAGUUGCCAUAGAAACGGGCCAGCAACACCAACUGACAAGUUUAAGAACUCCGUCUCUCACUGUUGGUUUCAGUGCUUUCAGAAAUGGUUCCGGAGUCUUCGAAAAAGUCCGUUAGCAUCUCAACCGUUUUCCGAAGAGAUUCUUCCAUGCUGAUGGCCGUGCAGCAGAAUAGGAGCAGACCUCAAUCAUACACUAAUGUUCAAAAGUUUGAGGAUCCUACCCAGCCCCAACCAUUCAUCAGAAGGACUGUGAAAGCGGGAACUGUUUAAACCACCAGUGGCGGUUUCCACAGGAUAGUUGUGGAUGAGGGGGGUACUGAUAUUAACACGUUGUAUUCACUGUAUUACACACUAUAGUGUGUAUAUAUUUUUUAAAUUCACUGUGACCAUUGAGUACUCAGACUUGACAUUGACGGAUGACAUUGAAGAUGUUUGCAGUGAUCGAGUCUCAGACAGUGUCAAGUCUUAAUACUCCAGUACUUGUGCACACCCCUAUUAAACGCACACACACUGUAUCAAGGUAUGAUGUAUACUGCAAUGAUGUAUAAUGUAAAUGCAAUAAAUACUUUUAUCAUAUACUG